UACAGAGGGUGCAAGCGUUGUUCGGAAUUACUGGGCGUAAAGCGCGUGUAGGCGGCUUGAUAAGUCUGCUGUGAAAGCCCUGGGCUCAACCUGGGAACUGCAGUGGAUACUGGCGGACUAGAGUGUGAUAGAGGAUGGUGGAAUUCCCGGUGUAGCGGUGAAAUGCGUAGAGAUCGGGAGGAACACCAGUGGCGAAGGCGGCCAUCUGGAUCAACACUGACGCUGAGGCACGAAAGCGUGGGGGAGCAAACAGG
rnacentral:rRNA from 1 species